UACGUAGGGUGCAAGCGUUGUCCGGAAUUAUUGGGCGUAAAGAGCUCGUAGGCGGUUUGUCGCGUCGGCUGUGAAAACUCGGGGCUCAACCCCGAGCCUGCAGUCGAUACGGGCAGACUAGAGUGCUGUAGGGGAGACUGGAAUUCCUGGUGUAGCGGUGAAAUGCGCAGAUAUCAGGAGGAACACCGGUGGCGAAGGCGGGUCUCUGGGCAGUAACUGACGCUGAGGAGCGAAAGCGUGGGGGGCGAACAGG
rnacentral:rRNA from 1 species